rnacentral:rRNA from 1 species
CGUAAAACGAUGUCGACUUGGAGGUUGUGGCUUCCGGAGCUAACGCGUUAAGUCGACCGCCUGGGGAGUACGGCCGCAAGGUUAAAACUCAAAUGAAUUGACGGGGGCCCGCACAAGCGGUGGAGCAUGUGGUUUAAUUCGAUGCAACGCGAAGAACCUUACCUGGUCUUGACAUCCAGGUGCUGCAUGGCUGUCGUCAGCUCGUGUUGUGAAAUGUUGGGUUAAGUCCCGCAACGAGCGCAACCCUUAUCCUUUGUUGCAACUCAAAGGAGACUGCCAGUGAUAAACUGGAGGAAGGUGGGGAUGACGUCAAGUCAUCAUGGCCCUUACGACCAGGGCUACACACGUGCUACAAUGGCAUAUACAAAGAGAAGCGACCUCGCGAGAGCAAGCGGACCUCAUAAAGUAUGUCGUAGUCCGGAUUGGAGUCUGCAACUCGACUCCAUGAAGUCGGAAUCGCUAGUAAUCGUAGAUCAGAUGCUACGGUGAAUACGUUCCCGGGCCUUGUACACACCGCCCGUCACACCAUGGGAGUGGGUUGCAAAAGAAGUAGGUUACCACUUUGUGAUUCAUGA